UACGGGGGGGGCAAGCGUUGUUCGGAAUUACUGGGCGUAAAGGGUUCGUAGGUGGCCAACUCAGUCAGACGUGAAAUCCCUCAGCUCAACUGGGGAACUGCGUCUGAUACUAGAUGGCUCGAGUGCAGGAGAGGAACGCGGAAUUCCAGGUGUAGCGGUGAAAUGCGUAGAUAUCUGGAGGAACACCGGUGGCGAAGGCGGGUCUCUGGGCCGAUACUGACGCUGAGGCGCGAAAGCCAGGGGAGCAAACGGG
rnacentral:rRNA from 1 species